UCCGAAUUGGUGUAGUGGCUAACAUUUGACGCUCUCAAAAAUAUCACAAUCACAUUGUGUAAUGUUAAAAGGUGCCGUCAAGCCCGGGGUUCGAUUCCCCGAUUCGGAG